rnacentral:rRNA from 1 species
GAGACUCUGUGCGCGUGCAUAUCAAUAAGCGGAGGAAAAGAAACUAACAAGGAUUCCCUUAGUAACGGCGAGUGAAGCGGGAAGAGCUCAAAUUUGAAAUCUUCAAGGUUCUACCUUGACGAAUUGUAGUUUAUAGAAGUGUUUUCUGUUAGUGGAGUGGCAAAAGUUCUUUGGAAUAGGACAUCAUAGAGGGUGAGAAUCCCGUAUUUGGUCAUUCCUCCUAGCGUCGUGAUACACUUUCAACGAGUCGGAUUGUUUGGGAAUGCAGUCCAAAAUGGGUGGUAAAUUUCAUCUAAAGCUAAAUAUUGGCGAGAGACCGAUAGCGAACAAGUACCGUGAGGGAAAGAUGAAGAGAACUUUGAAAAGAGAGUUAAACAGUACGUGAAAUUGUCAAAAGGGAAGCGUUUGACACCAGUGUUGUUUUUCCGAAAAUCAAUUACGAAUGUUUUAUUUUUGAGGAGUUAUGACUUCAUCGGCUUGCUCCUUUCUUUAUGAAACUUUCUUAAUGCACUUUUCGGUUAACAAGUCAACAUCAAUUUCUUUUGUUGUAAAAGGGUAUGAGGAAGGUGGCUUUCUUUUCGGAGAAAGUGUUUAUAGCCUUGUGCCUCUGCAAUCGGAGAGAUUGAGGUCUGCAGCGUAGAUCCUUCGGGGUUAGAUACGUUUGUGCUAAGUUAUAGCUUUUCAUAGACAACUUGUUGACUAUGUUUAGUCUUGUAGCUUACUCGCUUAUGCUAUUUUACCUACGCUUAGGAUGUUGACAGCAGUAUAGACUGU